GACGAACGCUGGCGGCGUGCUUAACACAUGCAAGUCGAACGGAAAGGCCCUGCUUGCCGGGUACUCGAGUGGCGAACGGGUGAGUAACACGUGGGUGAUCUGCCCUGCACUUCGGGAUAAGCUUGGGAAACUGGGUCUAAUACCGGAUAGGAGCCAUCUUUAGUGUGGUGGUUGGAAAGUUUUUUCGGUGUAGGAUGAGCUCGCGGCCUAUCAGCUUGUUGGUGGGGUAAUGGCCUACCAAGGCGGCGACGGGUAGCCGGCCUGAGAGGGUGUACGGCCACAUUGGGACUGAGAUACGGGCCAGACUCCUACGGGAGGCAGCAGUGGGGAAUAUUGCACAAUGGGCGCAAGCCUGAGGCAGCGACGCCGCGUGGGGGAUGAAGGCCUUCGGGUUGUAAACUCCUUUCGCUAGGGACGAAGCUUUGUUGUGACGGUACCUAGAUAAGAAGCACCGGCUAACUACGUG
rnacentral:rRNA from 1 species